rnacentral:rRNA from 1 species
CUACGGGCUGCAGCAGUGGGGAAUAUUGCACAAUGGGCGCAAGCCUGAUGCAGCCAUGCCGCGUGUAUGAAGAAGGCCUUCGGGUUGUAAAGUACUUUCAGCGGGGAGGAAGGGAGUAAAGUUAAUACCUUUGCUCAUUGACGUUACCCGCAGAAGAAGCACCGGCAAACUCCGUGCCAGCAGCCGCGGUAAUACGGAGGGUGCAAGCGUUAAUCGGAAUUACUGGGCGUAAAGCGCACGCAGGCGGUUUGUUAAGUCAGAUUGUGAAAUCCCCGGGCUCAACCUGGGAACUGCAUCUGAUACUGGCAAGCUUGAGUCUCGUAGAGGGGGGUAGAAUUCCAGGUGUAGCGGUGAAAUGCGUAGAGAUCUGGAGGAAUACCGGUGGCGAAGGCGGCCCCCUGGACGAAGACUGACGCUCAGGUGCGAAAGCGUGGGGAGCAAACAGGAUUAGAUACCCGCGUAGUC